CUGCGGGAUCGCCGGAGCUGGCCUCGGGGUCGCCGGAUCUGGCCAUGUGGUCGCCGGACCACGACUUCACCCAGCCAUGCAGCAUCUCACUUUUACCAUUCUUCCACUCUCGGUUUCUUUCUUUCUUUCUAACUCCUUUUUCUCUCUUAAUCUCUUUCUGCAGGUGGAACCCUGCACGUAUACGGCUUCUCGGACCUCGGCUACAGCGGAUGGCGUAGCUUCAUGGCCGGCACACAGGGCGACGCCGAUGAGGAUCUUGUACGCAGACUUCCCCAUCAACGGCUCUACCUCAGGUGCACAUGCGUGUUGCUUAGGAUAUAUGGUCUGCUUCUGGACAGCAAGCGAUUGGAUUAGGAACCUGAAGAUGGCGCUCUCAUGCUUGGGACCCUUUGGCCAGAUCUUCCGCCUAGGGCCAAGGGAUACUACACCGGCCUUGACGUCUUCCGCAAGGAGGCCCAG